rnacentral:rRNA from 1 species
UGACUAUACAAAGGUAUUGUAAUAAGGUUUUAAUUGAAUGCUAAGAGAAUGGAAAUUUAAAAAAAAACUUUUUUAAAAAUAAAAAUUAAAUUUUUUUUAAUUUGUGCAAAAACAAUUAUUGUUAUUAAAGACAAGAAGACCCUAAGAAUUUAAGAUUAAAAAUUAAAAAAUUUUUUAAUUUUUAAUCUUGAUUGGGGCGAUCAAAAAAUAUUAAUAACUUUUAAAAAUUUAAAUUGAUCUAUUAUUAAUAAAUAAAUGAAAUAAAUACUCUAGGGAUAACAGCGUAAUAAUUUUUGAUAGAUCUUAUUGACAAAAUAGUUUGCGACCUCGAUGUUGGAUUAGGAUUCUUUUUUAAUGAAGAAGUUAAAAAAAGAAGUUUGUUCAACUUUUAAAUUCCUACUUGAUCUGA